rnacentral:tRNA from 1 species
UCCUCGUUAGCUCAAUUGGCAGAGCGGGCGGCUGUUAACUGCUAGGUUCGAAGUUCGAGUCUUCGACGAGGAGCCA